UGAGUACGAGAUGCUACGGCAUCGAAGCAGUCUAUGUCAUACUUCCAAGAAAAGCUUGCACUGUCAUAAACAAAGAAUGCCUGUACCAUAACCGACACAGGUGGGUAGGUAGAGUAUACUAAGGGGCGCGAGAUAACUCUCUCUAAGGAACUCGGCAAAAUGACUCCGUAACUUCGGGAGAAGGAGUGCCUUAUUUCUAAGGUUGCAAUAACAAGAUCCAAGCAACUGUUUACCAAAAACACAGGUCUCCGCUAAGUCGUAAGACGAUGUAUGGGGGCUGACGCCUGCCCAGUGCCAGAAGGUUAAAGAAGUUGGUUAGCAUUAGCGAAGCUGAUAACUGAAGCCCUGGUGAACGGCGGCCGUAACCAUAACGGUCCUAAGGUAGCGAAAUUCCUUGUCGGGUAAGUUCCGACCCGCACGAAAGGCGUAAUGAUUUGGAUACUGUCUCGGAGAGGGGCUCGGUGAAAUAGACUUGUCUGUGAAGAUGCGGACUACCUGCACCUGGACAGAAAGACCCUAUGAAGCUUUACUGUAACUUGAGAUUGAAAUUGGACUUUAUUUGCGCAGUAUAGGUGGGAGGCGUUGAGAAUAAUCUUGCGGGAUUGUUGGAGCCAUCAGUGAGAUACCACUCUUGUAAUGUUAGAUUUCUAACUUUGUAUCAUUAUCUGGUCAAAGAACAGUUUCAGGCGGGCAGUUUGACUGGGGCGGUCGCCUCCCAAAGGGUAACGGAGGCGCACAAAGGUUUCCUCUGAACGGGUAGAAAUCGUAUCUAGAGUGUAAAGGCAUAAGGAAGCUUGACUGUGAGACCUACAAGUCGAGCAGGGACGAAAGUCGGUCUUAGUGAUCUGACGGUGCUGAGUGGAAAGGCCGUCACUCAACGGAUAAAAGUUACUCUAGGAUAACAGGCUGAUCUCCCCCAAGAGUUCACAUCGACGGGGAGGUUUGGCACCUCGAUGUCGGCUCAUCGCAUCCUGGGGCGGUAGUCCGUCCCAAGGGUUGGGCUGUUCGCCCAUGAAAGCGGUACGCGAGCUGGGUUCAGAACGUCGUGAGACAGUUCGGUCCAUAUCCGGUGUAGGCGUUAGAAUAUUGAGAGGAGCCUUCUCUAGUACGAGAGGACCGAGAAGGACAUACCUCUGGUGUACCAGUUAUCGUGCCAACGGUAAACGCUGGGUAGCUAUGUAUGGAGUGGAUAACCGCUGAAAGCAUCUAAGUGGGAAGCCCACCUCAAGAUAAGUAUUCUCAUC
rnacentral:rRNA from 1 species